CAGUUCUGUUUUCGGCUCGAUCGAGUCGAGAGCUCAAAAUCAAAAUUUUUAGUUUUGAAUUUUCAACACACGCUGAGUUUCUUGUGACUUUUUUUAUGAUGGUACCACGGACUAGAAACGGGCCUGGUGCGACGAGGGCUUCAUAAACUCAAGGGACUGCUACUGAGAACUGACAUUUACGUAACCAUAUCUUUACACUCUCUAAAUGAAUAUCGCAUACACUUACAUUGAAAGCAGUAAAAAGUAAUCACACGCACACACAGACGUUUCAAAUUUGUUAUAAACACACGCAUUAUGUUGUUAAUCAAGACACUUAAUUCACAAAUACCUUAAGAUAUAUGUAUGUGCAAAACAAAUAUAUUGAAUCAUCACUUUGAAAGUUCAACGUUAUCGUUAAAAGCCGUUUUGAGGGGAGCAUCUGAACACAUAAUCAAAAACUUGACUGCAAAUUGAGUAUUAUAAAAACUGUUUAAUUUUCUAAACGGAAAUUGGAUUAUUAAUUAUAUUAAUAUUAAUCUUUAACAA